CGGGGUUUCGCGCCUCCACGCGUCCCGCCGCGUGUUCGAGUGGAUGCACCGCGCCGGCUCCGCCGUGCCGGUGAUUCACAAUAUGCAGUUCGACGCGAGCGCGGAGAAGGACACCGUCGUGAUCGAGUCCGGCGCGCAGGCGGGCGGCUUGCUGUGCGACGGCCUCGGCGACGGCGUCGUCGUCGAGCACCCGGGGGUGCCGCUGUCGUAUCUCCGCACGACGUCGUUCGGCUUACUUCAGG
rnacentral:lncRNA from 1 species